AACGUAGGUGGCAAGCGUUAUCCGGAUUCACUGGGCGUAAAGCGCGUGCAGGUGGCUCUGUAAGUUGGAUGUUAAAUCUCUCGGCCUAACCGGGAGUGGUCAUUCAAUACUGCGGGGCUUGAGGGCAGAAGAGGGGGGUGGAAUUGCCGGUGUAGUGGUGAAAUGCGUAGAUAUCGGCAGGAACACCUGUGGCGAAAGCGGCCCCCUGGUCUGCUCCUGACACUCAGACGCGAAAGCUAGGGUAG
rnacentral:rRNA from 1 species